UGAUGAUUAAAUCAUUUCCUCUUAUGAAUCACUAAUCUUCUGUGAAGCAGCCAGUGCUAAUUUCAACACCCAUUCCAGCUGUAAUGGAAAUGGACGGAUUACUUUGGGGAACAAUUGUGUCUAACUCAACUUCACUGAAGCCAGUGGGGAGCACGUGAUUGAAUUCCACCAGGCACAGAAACUGUCCUUUGACAGAGCAAGUCCAGAAAGUGUUGAAAACGAACGUACAGAAGCAUGCUGCAGGAACUGCUGUCCCUGGCUUCAUCUUGCUGCCUGGUAAGAAAGCAGAUUGACCAUCUGAGAAGAAUUCCCCAAAUGCCUGGCGUUUUCCUGUGGCACAGAGAUGCCUGAGAUUCAGCUUUGGGCACUGCAGUUUGGCAGCUGUAUAGGAAUAAGGUGGGGCUGGACAGCCUGGGAAAUGCCACAGGAUCAGACAGCUUGCUGAACAGGAGCUACAACACAAGAAU
ensembl:lncRNA